rnacentral:rRNA from 1 species
AACGAACGCUGGCGGCGCGUCUUAAGCAUGCAAGUCGAACGGCAAGAUUGGUGCUUGCACCGAUCCUAGAGUGGCGGACUGGUGAGUAACGCGUGGGUGACGUACCCUAAGGAUGGGGAUAGCUGGUAGAAAUAUCAGAUAAUACCGAAUAUCCUUAUUGUUGUUAGAGGACGGUAAGGAAAGGAGCUUUGGCUUCGCCUAAGGAUCGUCCCGCGUACUAUUAGCUAGUUGGUGAGGUAACGGCUCACCAAGGCGACGAUAGUUAUCCGGCCUAAGAGGGUGAACGGACACAUUGGGACUGAGAUACGGCCCAGACUCCUACGGGAGGCAGCAGCUAAGAAUAUUCCGCAAUGGAGGAAACUCUGACGGAGCGACGCCGCGUGGAUGAUGAAGGCCGGAAGGUUGUAAAAUCCUUUUAAGCAAGAAGAAUAAACUUUACAGGGAAUGGUAGAGUGGUGACGGUAUUGCUUGAAUAAGCAACGGCUAAUUACGUGCCAGCCGCCGCGGUAAGAC